GCGAAGGACUCCAGUGCUUUUGGGGCUGUGCUGUUGGUCCUUGGGCCAUCGCUCGUUCAGUCGUCGUUGCGUGUUGUAGGUGGCCUGGUCUACUGAGCUCCGUUUGGACGUUUGGACUGCGCCUCCUCCAACUACUACUGCGGCCGCCGCUGCUGCUGCUGCGGCUGCUGCAUCUGCAACCUGCAACACUCACACCACGGCAACAGAAGUAGACGCGUCGCGUUCAGUCUCCGUCCCACGGCCUAACGUCAUGUCGCGUAGUGUUCGGCCGAGUAAAGCUGGCAGACUGUAAGGUGACUGAACCGAUCCUUAGCCCAUCACCUCCUCUCCCACUCGAGUGCCGUGGCUGUGGCUGUGGAUGUGUGUCAAUUAAAAAGUCUCGUCUCAGUGAGUCGCGUGUUUAAUUUGCGGCACGUUCCCCACACACACUCGCUAUCAAUUUAAUUAAAACGCCACAGACAGAGCCAUAACUUCCGCAAAACCAGCCUUCACACCCACCGAACUGGGCCCAAAACUAAACACAAUAUUGCGGCCAAGACCCAGCUAAGCCGGCCAGAUCAGAAAGAGAUGACGGCAUUGAUGAGGAAAGAGAUAGAGAGCGGCCAAAACCUAGCCCCGAAAAUCGAUAAACUGAGCCGUUUAAACACUGCGGUCAAAUGAAUCUGUGUACUUCAAAUUCUCCAUUUCGGGUAAGUAAGCCACCACGAAU